rnacentral:rRNA from 1 species
GUGGGGAAUAUUGGACAAUGGGCGCAAGCCUGAUCCAGCCAUGCCGCGUGAGUGAUGAAGGCCUUAGGGUUGUAAAGCUCUUUUGUCCGGGAAGAUAAUGACUGUACCGGAAGAAUAAGCCCCGGCUAACUUCGUGCCAGCAGCCGCGGUAAUACGAAGGGGGCUAGCGUUGUUCGGAACCACUGGGCGUAAAGCGCACGUAGGCGGACCAGUAAGUCAGGGGUGAAAGCCUGGAGCUCAACUCCAGAACUGCCUUUGAUACUGAUGGGCUCGAGUAUGGAAGAUGUUGGUUGAACUGCGAGUGUAGAGGUGAAAUUCGUAGAUAUUCGCAAGAACACCGGUGGCGAAGGCGGCCAACUGGUCCAUUACUGACGCUGAGGUGCGAAAGCGUGGGGAGCAAACAGGAUUAGAAACCCUAGUAGUCC